rnacentral:lncRNA from 1 species
UCUGGGCCCGCACCGACUGCUCCUUCGAUGGAAGCGGCAGCGGUAGCUGCCAGACAGGCGACUGCGGCGGCCUCCUGGAGUGCCAAGGCUACGGCACGCCGCCCAAUACGCUGGCCGAGUUCGCCCUCAACCAGUUCCAGAACAUGGACUUCAUCGACAUCUCCCUCGUCGACGGCUUCAACGUGCCCAUGGACUUCAGCCCCACCUCGGGGGACUGCCGGGGCAUACGGUGCUCCGCCGACAUCAACGGGCAGUGCCCCGCGGAGCUGAGGGCGCCGGGCGGCUGCAACAACCCUUGCACCGUGUUCAAAACUGAUGAGUACUGCUGCACCUCCGGCAGCUGCGGGCCGACAAACUACUCCAUGUUCUUCAAGAACAACUGCCCCGAUGCUUACAGCUACCCCAAGGACGACGCAACCAGCACCUUCACCUGCCCCGGUGGGACUAAUUACAGGGUUGUCUUCUGCCCUUAAUUAUCACGUGGGAGGAGAAGGAGGUGACGGCGGACGUACAAAGAAUCUACUCGUAGAUAAAAGAAUAAUAAGCCAAUUACCCAGUAAUAACAACGAAUAAGAGGGUGUCUGUAUUGACAUC